rnacentral:miRNA from 1 species
AUGAGAUUGAGAGAGAGAAUGAGAGGAGAGGAUGGGAGGAAUGAGUAACAAAAGUGAAAACAAUUUUAAAUAGAUUUCAGUUUUUAAUUUUUGUUUUCACUUUUGUUACUCAUCCCUUCCAUUUUCCCCUCUUAUCUUCCCUCUUAAUCUCAUC